UCCCGAGUUGUUGUACCCCCACGCGUACACCUGCAUGGGGUGAGGGGGGUGAGAGGGGCGACUGGUCACCGAAGGGGUCCAGAGACGGGUGCAGCCCAAUCAACAAACUUUCAGCUGACUUCCCUGUAGGACAGCCAGGACGGGAGAGACGGGGGUGUGAUCGGCACCUCUCCAUCCAAGGUGCGGGCGAUGGUGUGAUGGGAACCACAGGCCACCUCCACCACCUUCUUGUUGAGCAGGUUGGUGGACACGUGGGCGGGGAUCAUGCCGUGGUUGGUGGUGCCGUUCCCCAGCUGACUGUAGCCGUUGUGGCCCCAGGCGUACACCUCUCCAUCUACAGGGGACGAGGAAAAAAAUUGGGCU